rnacentral:rRNA from 1 species
AAGUUAGAAAGGGCACACGGAGGAUGCCUAGGCUUCCGGAGGCGAAGAAGGACGUGGCAAGCUGCGAAAAGCUGCGGGGAGCUGCAGGCGAGCGUAGAUCCGCAGAUAUCCGAAUGGGGCAACCCUUCCGCUGAAGGCGGAAAUCCCGCAAGGGAGGCGAACCCGGGGAACUGAAACAUCUAAGUACCCGGAGGAGGAGAAAACAACAGUGAUUCCCUUAGUAGUGGCGAGCGAACGGGGAGGAGCCCAAACCCAUGGUGUUUAGGCACGAUGGGGGUAGUAGGACUGGCAAAGAGUAUGCGCAUUUGAAGCGGAAGCAGUUGGAAUGCUGCGCCGGAGAAGGUGAGAGCCCUGUAUGCGUAGAGAUGCGAUAUACGAGCCAGGAUCCUGAGUAGCGCGGGACACGAGGAAUCCUGUGUGAAUCAGCCGGGACCAUCCGGUAAGGCUAAAUACUCCCGGAAGACCGAUAGUGAACCAGUACCGUGAGGGAAAGGUGAAAAGAACCCUGAGGAAGGGGGUGAAAGAGAACCUGAAACCGUGUGUCUACAAGCGGUCGGAGCCUUAGGGCGACGGCGUGCCUUUUGCAUAAUGAGCCUACGAGUUGCUCAUCACCGGCGAGGUUAAUCUGUUCAGCAGAGGAGCCGAAGCGAAAGCGAGUCUGAAGAGGGCGCAUAGUCGGUGGUGGCAGACGCGAAACCUUGUGAUCUACCCUUGGCCAGGCUGAAGCUUCGGUAACACGGAGUGGAGGGCCGAACCAGUAAGCGUUGAAAAGCUUUUGGAUGAGCUGAGGGUAGGGGUGAAAGGCUAAUCAAACUGGGAAAUAGCUCGUACUCCCCGAAAUGCAUUUAGGUGCAGCCUUGUGGUAGAGUAUAUCAGAGGUAGAGCCACUGAUAGGAUGCGGGGGUUUCACCGCCUACCAAAUCCUGACAAACUCCGAAUGCUGAUAUAUAUACACAGGAGUGAGGGCCGGGGUGCUAAGGUCACGGUCCGAGAGGGAAAGAACCCAGAGCAACGGCUAAGGUCCCGAAGUUAUCGCUAAGUUGUUCAAACGAGGUCAGACUGCAUUGACAGCUAGGAUGUUGGCUUGGAAGCAGCCAUUCAUUUAAAGAGUGCGUAACAGCUCACUAGUCGAGCGGUUUGGCAUGGACAAUAAUCGGGCAUAAGCGAUACACCGAAGCCUUGCUGUCCGUUAGGGGCAGGUAGGGGAGCAUUCUGUAUGCGGAGAAGGAUAGCUGUGAGGCUUACUGGAGCGUACAGAAGAGAAAAUGUAGGCAUAAGUAACGAUAAGGCGGGUGAGAAACCUGCCCACCGAAAGACUAAGGUUUCCCGGGCGAUGUUAAUCAACCCGGGGUAAGUCGGGAGCUAAGGCGAGAUCGUUGUAAAGGCGGUGUAGCUGAUGCCAAAUCGGUUAAUAUUCCGAUACCUGCUUACAAUGCGAUGCGGGGACGAAGGUGUGACACCUCCGCCUGGAGACGGAAUACCAGGUUAAAGCUUGUAGGUAAACUGGCAGCAGGCAAAUCCACUGCUAGUGCCGAAGGUGAUAGUACUCAGAGUCUUCGGACGAUGAGACAGAGAGGGUAAACGUACUUCCGAGAAAAGCCGCUAAGCUUCAGUUGUAAGCAGCCCGUACCGCAAACCGACACAGGUAGUCGAGGAGAGUAUCCUAAGGUGCUCGAGUGAGUCGUGGCUAAGGAACUAGGCAAAUUGACCCCGUAACUUCGGGAUAAGGGGACCCUGACGGAGACGUUGGGGCGCAGAGAAAUGGCCCAGGCGACUGUUUAUCAAAAACACAGGACUCUGCGAAUUCGAAAGAAGAAGUAUAGGGUCUGACACCUGCCCGGUGCCGGAAGGUUAAGAGGAGGGGUUAGCCUUAAGGCGAAGCUCUGAAUUGAAGCCCCGGUAAACGGCGGCCGUAACUAUAACGGUCCUAAGGUAGCGAAAUUCCUUGUCGGGUAAGUUCCGACCUGCACGAAUGGUGUAACGAUCUGGGCACUGUCUCAGCCACGAGCUCGGUGAAAUUGUAGUCUCGGUGAAGAUGCCGGGUACCCGCAAUGGGACGAAAAGACCCCGUGAACCUUCACUACAGCUUAGUAUUGACUUUGGACAACGGAUGUGUAGGAUAGGUGGGAGACUGAGAAGCUGUGGCGCCAGCCAUGGUGGAGUCGCCGUUGAAAUACCACCCUUUCGUUGUUUGAAGCCUAACCUCAUCAAGGGGGACAGUGCUUGGCGGGUAGUUUGACUGGGGUGGUCGCCUCCAAAAGAGUAACGGAGGCUUCCAAAGGUGCCCUCAGCACGCUUGGCAACCGUGCGUAGAGUGCAAUGGCAUAAGGGCGCUUGACUGUGAGGCCGACAAGCCGAUCAGGUGGGAAACCAGGGCAUAGUGAUCCGGUGGCGCUGUAUGGGCAGGCCAUCGCUCAAAGGAUAAAAGGUACUCCGGGGAUAACAGGCUGAUCCUUCCCAAGAGCUCACAUCGACGGGGGGGUUUGGCACCUCGAUGUCGGCUCGUCACAUCCUGGGGCUGGAGAAGGUCCCAAGGGUUGGGCUGUUCGCCCAUUAAAGUGGCACGCGAGCUGGGUUCAGAACGUCGCGAGACAGUUCGGUCUCUAUCUAUUGCGGGCGUUAGAAAUUUGAGGGGAGCUGCCAUUAGUACGAGAGGACCGUGGCGGACGCACCACUAGUGUACCUGUUGUGGCGCCAGCUGCACCGCAGGGUAGCUAUGUGCGGAAGUGAUAAGCGCUGAAAGCAUAUAAGCGCGAAACACACCCCAAGAUGAGAUUUCUUUUAAGGGUCGUUCGAGAUGAGGACGUUGAUAGGCUGCAGGUGUAAAGGCAGUAAUGUCAUAGCCGAGCAGUACUAAUUACCCGUAAACUUC